rnacentral:rRNA from 1 species
UACGUAGGGCGCAAGCGUUGUCCGGAAUUAUUGGGCGUAAAGAGCUCGUAGGCGGCUUGUCACGUCGGGUGUGAAAGCCCGGGGCUUAACCCCGGGUCUGCAUUCGAUACGGGCUAGCUAGAGUGUGGUAGGGGAGAUCGGAAUUCCUGGUGUAGCGGUGAAAUGCGCAGAUAUCAGGAGGAACACCGGUGGCGAAGGCGGCAUCCUGGACCGACAUUGACGCUGAGGAGCGAAAGCUAGGGGAGCAAACGGG